rnacentral:rRNA from 1 species
AGUGAACGCUGGCGGUGGGCCUAACACAUGCAAGUCGAACGAUUGGCGGCCGGUUGGUGAAUACUUCGGAAUUUCCUCUGUCGUGGGGGUUAACGUAGGGAACCUUACGCUAUUACCGCAUACGUUUGAAUGAGCCGGUGUGGGAUUAGCUAGUGGUCGGGGUAAAGGCCCACCAAGACGACGAUCCUUAGCUGGUCUGAGAGGAUGAUCAGCCACACUGGAACUGAGACACGGUCCAGACUCCUACGGGAGGCAGCAGUGGGGAAUAUUGGACAAUGGGCGCAAGCCUGAUCCAGCCAUGCCGCGUGGGUGAAGAAGGCCUUCGGGUUGUAAAGCCCUUUUGUUGGGAAAGCGGUACCCAAAGAAGAAGCACCGGCUAACUUCGUGCCAGCAGCCGCGGUAAUUC